AAGACAAUAAGGUCUGUCAGUACUAGGAUAAAAGAGCAUAAAGGCAAUAUACGCAAUUUUAAAAAUGACACCUAUACUGACACUCCUGUAGCCAGACAUUUUGAUACUGUAAAACAUAAUGUAUGUCAGCUAAAGUGGAUAGUGUUAGAGACAGUAGCAAAACCUAGUAGAGGAGGUGAUCAUAACUUGAUACUAUUGCAGAGGGAGGCCAGAUGGAUAAAGCGCUUGGAUAGUGCUUAUCCGAAAGGGUUAAAUGAGCAGUGCAAUUUAUCAUGUUUUCUUUAAUAGUAAUGGCUUGUCGUUCUUUGUUCCCAGGAAUUAUAACUAGAUUCCAAGUUGUAAUGACAUGGAACUCCUGCUGCAUUUACAUAUGGGUCUUUUACAGGUUAGGCGGAUUGAGCAGUAACCUGGUUUUAACAUUAUGUUUCAGUGGGAUUUCAACAUGUAUUAUAUGAAAUAAUGUGUGUCACUUUUAAUAGCUAGAUGAAUUGGGUCACAAUAAGUUUUUACAAUAUUUA